rnacentral:rRNA from 1 species
GAUGAACGCUGGCGGCGUGCCUAAUACAUGCAAGUCGAGCGAACAGACGAGGAGCUUGCUCCUCUGACGUUAGCGGCGGACGGGUGAGUAACACGUGGAUAACCUACCUAUAAGACUGGGAUAACUUUGGGAAACCGGAGCUAAUACCGGAUAACAUGUUGAACCGCAUGGUUCAACAGUGAAAGACGGUCUUGCUGUCACUUAUAGAUGGAUCCGCGCCGCAUUAGCUAGUUGGUAAGGUAACGGCUUACCAAGGCAACGAUGCGUAGCCGACCUGAGAGGGUGAUCGGCCACACUGGAACUGAGACACGGUCCAGACUCCUACGGGAGGCAGCAGUAGGGAAUCUUCCGCAAUGGGCGAAAGCCUGACGGAGCAACGCCGCGUGAGUGAAGAAGGUCUUCGGAUCGUAAAACUCUGUUAUUAGGGAAGAACAAAUGUGUAAGUAACUAUGCACGUCCUGACGGUACCUAAUCAGAAAGCCACGGCUAACUACGUG